rnacentral:rRNA from 1 species
GAUCCUGACUCAGGAUGAACGCUAGCGACAGGCCUAACACAUGCAAGUCGAACGGAAGUUAGAGCUUCGGUUUUAACUUUAGUGGCGAACGGGUGAGUAACGCGUGAGGAACCUGCCUUUCAGUGGGGGACAACAGUUGGAAACGACUGCUAAUACCGCAUGACACUUUUGGGAGACAUCUCCUGGAAGUCAAAGCUUUAUGUGCUGAAAGAUGGCCUCGCGUCUGAUUAGCUAGUUGGUGAGGUAACGG